rnacentral:rRNA from 1 species
CCUACGGGGGGCAGCAGUGAGGAAUAUUGGUCAAUGGCCGAAAGGCUGAACCAGCCAUGCCGCGUGAAGGUCAGUGCCCUAUGGGCGUUAAACUUCUUUUGUGCGGGAGCAAUAAUGGUCACGUGUGGCCAGACGAGAGUACAGUACGAGUAAGCAUCUGCUAACUCCGUGCCAGAAGCCGCGGUAAUACGGGGGAUGCAAGCGUUAUCCGGAUUUAUUGUGUUUAAAGGGUGCGUAGGCUGGGAGGUAAGUCAGCGGUGAAAUGCCCCCGCUCAACGGGGUGAAGUGCCAUUGAUACUGCCGUGCUGGAAUGCGGAUGCAGUGGGAGGAAUGUGUGGUGUAGCGGUGAAAUGCAUAGAUAUCACACAGAACACCGAUUGCGAAGGCAUCUCACGAAUCCGCGAUUGACGCUGAUGCACGAAAGCGUGGGUAUCAAACAGGAUUAGAUACCCGGGUAGUC